CUCGACUCCCUCUCCCUUUCCCUUCCUUCCCUAGACUUCAACUCUCAUACUCUCUCAGUCUCACUCACACACUUACUCUCACAGUGCUCACCGUCGUCGGGACCAACACAACAGCACCAUCAACUCCGCUGUCGCGACCACCAUCACUCACCCCAUCACCACCAUCAAGCUCCAACUCUCAGACUCUCACAGUGCUAUCGCGGCCAACACAACGGCACCAUCUCCGCCGUCGCGACCACCAUCAUCACCCCAUCACCACCGCCGUCGCGACCACCUACUGCUACUAAAAUUUAGGCACUCCAUGGACUAAGGAGGAACAUACUAACUACAUAGCUUGGUAAAGGUGAUUGGCUAACAAUAUAGGUGCCAGCAUUGGUCUUCUUUAAAUUGAAAAUAAGUGAUUUAGUUUAGACUUACAUUUACCAUGGGGAAAAACACAAGAAAUGACACAAAUCUGUGCAAUUUAAAAACUGCAAUCGGUGCAGUUUUUUCAAACUACAAUCUGUGCAAUAUGUGCAAUCUGUGCAGCAAACAUUUUUAA
rnacentral:sRNA from 1 species